rfam:Granulicella mallensis MP5ACTX8, complete genome.
ACCGGCCUGCAAAGCAGGUACACGAACAACGCAGGUUGAACCAAUAAUCAUUGAACAGGGGUCCAGCUCGUAUACAUGGCUCGGUGUGCUAGGUCCGCCAGUCCGGAAAGCCUAAAGAGCCACGGCCGGGUCCCACCGUCUUAGACGGGUUCACCUGCGCUUCGAUGUACGGCCCCGUGGGUCGGUC